rnacentral:rRNA from 2 species
UGGGCGUAAGCGCGCGCAGGCGGUUUCUUAAGUCUGAUGUGAAAGCCCACGGCUCAACCGUGGAGGGUCAUUGGAAACUGGGGAACUUGAGUGCAGAAGAGAAAAGCGGAAUUCCACGUGUAGCGGUGAAAUGCGUAGAGAUGUGGAGGAACACCAGUGGCGAAGGCGGCUUUUUGGUCUGUAACUGACGCUGAGGCGCGAAAGCGUGGGGAGCAAACAGGAUUAGAUACCCUGGUAGUCCACGCCGUAAACGAUGAGUGCUAAGUGUUAGAGGGUUUCCGCCCUUUAGUGCUGCAGCUAACGCAUUAAGCACUCCGCCUGGGGAGUACGGUCGCAAGACUGAAACUCAAAGGAAUUGACAGGGGCCCCCACAAGCGG